rnacentral:rRNA from 1 species
GCCACCUGGCCCAAUACUGACGCUGAGGCACGAAAGCGUGGGGAGCANACAGGAUUAGAUACCCUGGUAGUCCACGCCCUAAACGAUGAAUACCAGAUGUUUGGUGCCAAGCGUACUGAGUGUCGUAGCUAACGCGAUAAGUAUUCCGCCUGGGAAGUACGGCCGCAAGGUUAAAACUCAAAGGAAUUGACCGGGGGCCCGCACAAGCGGUGGAGCAUGUGGUUUAAUUCGAUGCAACGCGAAGAACCUUACCUGGGCUUGACAUGUCUGGAAUCCUGCAGAGAUGCGGGAGUGCCCUUCGGGGAAUCAGAACACAGGUGCUGCAUGGCUGUCGUCAGCUCGUGUCGUGAGAUGUUGGGUUAAGUCCCGCAACGAGCGCAACCCUUGUCCUUAGUUGCCAGCGGUUCGGCCGGGCACUCUAGGGAGACUGCCGGUGACAAACCGGAGGAAGGUGGGGAUGACGUCAAGUCCUCAUGGCCUUUAUGUCCAGGGCUACACACGUGCUACAAUGGCGCGUACAGAGGGAAGCCAAGCCGCGAGGUGGAGCAGACCCCAGAAAGCGCGUCGUAGUUCGGAUUGCAGUCUGCAACUCGACUGCUGAAGUCGGCACUCGCUAGUAAUGGCUGGAUCAGCAUGC